rnacentral:rRNA from 1 species
CUAUGCGCCUUGCCAGCCCGCUACAGAAACUUAAAGGAAUUGACGGGGGCCCGCACAAGCGGAGGAACAUGUGGUUUAAUUCGAUGAUACGCGAGGAACCUUACCUGGGCUAGAACGCAUUCGGAAUCAGGCCGAAAGGCCUGCGCCAGCGAUGGCCGCUUGCGAGGUGCUGCAUGGUUGUCGUCAGCUCGUGCCGUGAGGUGUCGGGUUAAGUCCCAUAACGAGCGCAACCCCUACUGCUAGUUGCCAGCGGGUCAUGCCGGGGACUCUAGCGGAACUGCCAGCGUAAGCUGCGAGGAAGGUGGGGAUGACGUCAAAUCAGCACGGCCCUUACGUCCAGGGCUACACACGUGUUACAAUGGCCGGUACAGAGGGCAGCCACCCCGCGAGGGGGCGCGAAUCCCGAAAGCCGGUCCCAGUUCGGAUCGGAGUCUGCAACCCGACUCCGUGAAGCUGGAUUCGCUAGUAAUCGCGCAUCAGCCACGGCGCGGUGAAUACGUUCCCGGGCCUU